GCGGCAUUGGUGAAGUGGUAUCACAGCAGCUUCCCAAGCUGUUAUCACGGGUUCGAAUCCCGUAUGCCGCU
rnacentral:tRNA from 2 species